rnacentral:ncRNA from 1 species
UACCUGGUUGAUCCUGCCAGUAGUCAUAUGCUUGUCUCAAAGAUUAAGCCAUGCAAGUCUAAGUACGAGCUCUCGUACAGUGAAACUGCGAAUGGCUCAUUAAAUCAGUUAUGGUUCAUUUGAUCGUACAGUUUACUUGGAUAACUGUGGUAAUUCUAGAGCUAAUACAUGCGAGAAGCGCCGACCUCGCGGGAGGCGUGCAUUUAUCAGACCAAAAACCGGCCGCGUCUUCGGGCGCGUUCGCCUUGGUGACUCUGGAUAACUUUGCGGAUAGCACGGUCUAGCACCGCCGACGGAUCAUUCAAGUGUCAAACCUAUCAACUUUCGUCGGUACGGUAUUUGCCUACCGAGGUUCUUACGGGUGACGGGGAAUCAGGGUUCGAUUCCGGAGAGGGAGCCUGAGAAACGGCUACCACAUCCAAGGAAGGCAGCAGGGGCGCAAAUUACCCAUUCCCGACGCGGGGAGGGGUAGUGACGAAAAAUAACAAUGCAGGACUCGUUCGAGGCCCUGUAAUUGGAAUGAGUACACUUUAAAAGCUUUAACGAGUAUCCAUUGGAGGGCAAGUCUGGUGCCAGCAGCCGCGGUAAUUCCAGCUCCAAAAGUAUAUAUUUAAGUUGUUGCGGUUAAAAAGCUCGUAGUUGGAUUUUGGGCGCAGGCGGCCGGUCCGUCGCAAGGCGUGUACUGGACGUCCUGGCCUUCCCUCCGGUUCUCCGCCGGUGCUCUUGACUGAGUGUCGGCGGCGGCCGGAACGUUUACUUUGAAAAAAUUAGAGUGUUCAAAGCAGGCUCUCGAGCCUGGAUAAUGGUGCAUGGAAUAAUGGAAUAGGACCUCGGUUCUAUUUUGUUGGUUUUCGGAGCGCGAGGUAAUGAUUAAGAGGGACAGACGGGGGCAUUCGUACUGUGCCGUUAGAGGUGAAAUUCUUGGAUCGGCGCAAGACGAACGACUGCGAAAGCAUUUGCCAAGAAUGUUUUCUUUA